UAGCUACAAAAUAACUUAUUUUGUAGCCACUUUGAGUUACGAUAAUUACUAUGUUAAUUUAUGAAAUUAUAGUAACUCCAUACUAAGUGAUUUACUACGUUAUGGUAAAUAUCUCCAUGUGUUAUAGUAACCCAACUAUUGUAAAUGUGUAUUAAUAUUAUCAUAAAUUAGUAUAUAAAACUAUCGUAAAUGGAGGUGGCUACAAAAUAUUUGUAGCUG
rnacentral:pre_miRNA from 1 species